UGGCACGGCGACCCGUAAGUAAGCAGAAAAAAAACAUGUGGUCAUAUUUCUAUGCAAAUAUACUGUAGAACUGUGUAUGUGUUGUUAAUAGGAGCUAGGACACAAAUACACAUGUAAACUGAUCUGAUUGGUUUGCAGAUCUGUACUAUGAGAAGUCCAUCAGUGAGACUGUCCAUAUAGGAGGAGAUUUAACUGUCAGAUGUAAAUACCCACAAUCCCUCAAAAGUGACCCCAAGUUUCUCUGCAGGACGCAAGAUUUUGCUUGUUUUUAUAAGGACUCUGUUAAAGAUUGUAGAAAAAAAUAAACUUUUGGGAAAUUCUCCCUGUAUGAUGACAGAGAAAAACAAACCUUCACUGUAAGUAUUAGAGAUGUAACAAAGCAGGACUCUGAAUACUGGUGUGGAGCUGAAAAAGCCUGGACAUCUGAUCAUGGAUACAAGGUUUAUUUCACACGGAUCAAACUGACAGUCACUGAUCCAUGUGUCCCAGUUUCAACCUCAAAACUGCCCUUCAUCAUCAUCAUCAUCAUCAUCAUCCCCACUUCUUCGUCUCACAGAUAAAAACUCUGAUAAAAAAUCCUUGUCUACUCCACCUUCUCCUCCAGCAGGAUUUUCAGCUUCCACUGUUAUCACUGUGUCUGCAAUUCUGCUGCUGCUUCUGAUUGGAACCAUAACUGUCUUUGUGGCUCUACAAAAGAGACAAAAGUUGCAAGAUA